rnacentral:rRNA from 1 species
CUACGGGUGGCAGCAGUGGGGAAUAUUGGACAAUGGGGGAAACCCUGAUCCAGCAAUGCCGCGUGUGUGAAGAAGGCCUGCGGGUUGUAAAGCACUUUCGGUUGGGAGGACUGCUUCUAGCACUAAUAUUGUUGGAAGUUGACGUUACCUUCAGAAGAAGCACCGGCUAACUCCGUGCCAGCAGCCGCGAUAAUACGGAGGGUGCAAGCGUUAAUCGGAAUUACUGGGCGUAAAGCGCGCGUAGGCGGCUAGAUCAGUCGGGUGUGAAAGCCCCGGGCUUAACCUGGGAACUGCAUCCGAUACUGGCUAGCUUGAGUACAGGAGAGGAGAGUGGAAUUCCACAUGUAGCGGUGAAAUGCGUAGAUAUGUGGAGGAACACCAAUGGCGAAGGCAGCUCUCUGGCCUGAUACUGACGCUGAGGUGCGAAAGCGUGGGGAUCAAACAGGAUUAGAUACCCGAGUAGUC